GUGAGGAAUUUUCCGCAAUGGGCGAAAGCCUGACGGAGCAAUGCCGCGUGAAGGAUGAAGGCCUAUGGGUUGUAAACUUCUUUUCUUAGAGAAGAAUAUUGACGGUAUCUGAGGAAUAAGCAUCGGCUAACUCUGUGCCAGCAGCCGCGGUAAGACAGAGGAUGCAAGCGUUAUCCGGAAUGAUUGGGCGUAAAGCGUCUGUAGGUGGCUUCAAAAGUCUCCUGUCAAAGAUCAGGGCUUGACCCUGGGCCGGCAGGAGAAAGUCUGAGGCUAGAGUUUGGUAGGGGCAGAGGGAAUUACCGGUGGAGCGGUGAAAUGCGUAGAGAUCGGGAGGAACACCAAAGGCGAAAGCACUCUGCUGGGCCACAACUGACACUGAGAGACGAAAGCGAGGGGAGCAAAAGGGAUUAGAAACCCCUGUAGUCC
rnacentral:rRNA from 1 species